CCCCUUUAAAUAACACGCUUCCCUUUGUACAUCACGGAUCUUUUUACAUUUCUACGAUCUCAUUAAAUAAUUUUGUUGAUCCCAAGUUGCCUAACAACUUUCAUAUCUCAGUAAUGUUUCUUAACCAUUAUGGAAGUUAUUUUAUUUUUAAGUUGGUGUUUCAUGAGAUUUUCAUUUCUCUGCAGUUUCUUUUAACAUUUUUUCGUUUGAUUGCUAUCGGCAGAGUGUGAAUCCAUUCAUGGAUCAGAACGUGCCUGAACUUCCCAACAGACUUUUAGUGAGUGGGGUCCCUGCACUAUGUGCCGCUGUGCAUUAUCCUCAAUCCUUCAGGCUGCCUGCAUCGAGUCCGUAUGACAAUUUUUUGAAGGCUGCUGGAUGUUGAUAUAACUGAAGAAAUUCAUGUCAUUCUACCCUCAGCAGGCACAUUUACUAUGCAGGAUUCGACAGUAUUGCACCAUACACUAGGAAAUAUUUUAAUUUUUUUUUUCUUCCUCAAAACUUUCUAGUCAAGCGUACCAAACAUGCCAUCAACAUCAAUUGCAAGCAGUUUCUACUUUAGAGAGAGGAUGAAGACUCGCCACAAGGAUUCAGCACUGGUACGAUAAAUGGUUUUUUCCUCAAAAUAUGAAGAUAGUUCCAUGCAUGAUCAAUGAUAUUGACUAAAUUUUUGAACCGUUAAUACCAUAUUUAUUCAUUCUUUAAUUUCCUCCCUACUGUGUAAAAUGCGCGUUCAAUGAUGAUACUGGUAAGAGACGUUCCAGUUUUUCCUUCGGGAAGAUGUUAAAUUUUUGCAAGCUGUGAGGGUUUGUGUAAAAGGAUUAUAGACCAUUUCGUUGUAUAAAGAUUAGGUUGUGUAUGUUUUGCAAUGUACUGGAAAAUUAUUUUGUUCACAAUUUAUAGAUACUGGAA
rnacentral:lncRNA from 1 species